CAGGGACCGUCAAUCGUGAUCUCCAAGAUCCCAGCCCGAUCCCCUGUCCCCCAACCCGGCCCCGCCGCUUCCGACGUGCAGAGAGCCGAGCGCCGCCCCGCACCCCCCGCGCUCGCCUCCCCUCCGUUCCCUGCCAGGACUCGGCGAGAGCCCGAGCGGCAGCGGCGCAGGGCUCAGCCCCGGGGCGGAGCUGGCGGCGGCCCAGAGGAGGCGGCCCGGCCGCAGCAGAGCCGGGGCUCAGGGCCACAGCGAGGAUCGGCCGGCGGAGCGGCGGCAUGCGGCGGUAUCGGGGCGCGGGGCUGGUGGCGCUGGCCGCGCUGCUGCUCGUGGCGUCUGGCAGAGCCCAGGUACAGCAGGAGACAUUCCUGGAGACCACCGAGAGCACCGGCAUCAACAUCACCUGUUCACACCCGCAAAAAGUGAGCGGCGAUUACAUCCAUUUCUAUCGUCAGCUGCCGAGCCGAGCACCCGAAUUCCUGGCACUCGCUGCUAGAGGCUCCAAGGACGUGCCGGACAUUGCGGGAAAGCUGUCGGUGUCGGAGGACGGGCGUUCGAGCGCGCUGUGGCUCGCUGGGCCCCGGCGCGGGGACGCGGCCGUGUAUUACUGCGCGCUGGCGGCCACGGCCAGACGAGCCGGGGCUGCGGCCGGGCACGAACCGCCGCGGGCGGGGCCGGCCGGGGCCAGCAGGGGGCGCUGCCGCUCCGCCCGCCGCCCUCCCGGGCCGCUGCCGGCACCAGAACCGGCACCGGCAAUGGGAUCAUGACCGGCACGGACACCGGCACCGACACGAGCACCGUCAUUGAAACCGGCAUUGACACCGAAACCCAUACCGGCACCGGUAACGGAAGCUCCAGCUUGGAAUCACCCACCAAUCUCAUUACCUCUUCUCAGCGCUGGCUUAAGGAGCUUUUGCCCCAACUGCCUGAUCUCCCUCGCACCAACCCCAUCCAGUCCCAGUGUCCUGUAAAACACC